AGCGAACGCUGGCGGCAGGCCUAACACAUGCAAGUCGAACGGGCAUAGCAAUAUGUCAGUGGCAGACGGGUGAGUAACGCGUGGGAACGUACCUUUUGGUUCGGAACAACACAGGGAAACUUGUGCUCAUACCGGAUAAGCUCUUACGGGGUAAGAUUUAUCGCCGUAAGAUCGGCGCGAGUCUGAUUAGCUAGUUGGUAGGUUAAUGGCCUACCAAGGCGACGAUCAGUAGCUGGUCUGAGAGGAUGAUCAGCCACAUUGGGACUGAGACACGGCCCAAACUCCUACGGGAGGCAGCAGUGGGGAAUAGUGGAAAAUGGGCGGAGGCCUGAUCGAGCCAUGCCGCGUGAGUGAUGAAGGCCGUAGAGUAGUAAAGCUCUAUUAUGCAGGAAGAUAAUGACGGUACCGAAAGAAUAAGCCCCGGCUAACUUCGUG
rnacentral:rRNA from 1 species